AACGAACGCUGGCGGCAUGCCUAACACAUGCCAGUCGAACGAGACCUUCGGGUCUAGUGGCGCACGGGUGCGUAACGCGUGGGAACCUGCCCUUAGGUUCGGAAUAACUCCCCGAAAGGGGUGCUAAUACCAGAUAAUGUCUUCGGACCAAAGAUUUAUCGCCUUUGGAUGGGCCCGCGUUGGAUUAGCUAGUUGGUAGGGUAAAAGCCUACCAAGGCGACGAUCCAUAGCUGGUCUGAGAGGAUGAUCAGCCACACUGGGACUGAGACACGGCCCAGACUCCUACGGGAGGCAGCAGUGGGGAAUAUUGGACAAUGGGCGAAAGCCUGAUCCAGCAAUGCCGCGUGAGCGAUGAAGGCCUUAGGGUUGUAAAGCUCUUUUACCCGGGAUGAUAAUGACAGUACCGGGAGAAUAAGCUCCGGCUAACUCCGUG
rnacentral:rRNA from 1 species